rnacentral:misc_RNA from 1 species
UGGUGCCCCAUCAAGCCCUUCAGCAAAUCAUGAAGAUAGGUAAAAUGAUUAAAAAAAAUGCCCGCUUGCAUCAUGUUUGUUCUAAAAAAUUUCUAUCUUCGUCACACCAAGGUUGCCAGGUCUCAACAAUGCCCCCUUUUGCUAUCUUAUCUUCUAACAGCAACAGAUACAAGUUCAACAGAUAGACAUUCACAAAAACAACAGAAAUUUAAGUCAUUGUUUUCGUUUUCGAGAACAAUCUUCAGUUUAUUCAUUACCAUCUUUUACUACAAUGAUUCAUACAUUGCCACCUGUUAGCGUCUAUUGACAUUUAACAACUAACCACAUGCUAUUGCCCGCUCGGUUUUUUCCAUUUAGGAGACUGUCGUUGAUUAACAGGAUCCUUGUAUUUGAAAAAGAAAAAGUUCAAGAUGAUUAAAGGGUAGGUAGGGGGCAUGAUUCCAGUUUUUAAAGGCAAUCAAGUUUGGGUUGCCAUCCUUAUCAACCCCGCUAUAACUUGAGGAGGGCAGAUAUAAACUGGUCAAGAAGCUUGAGAAUGUAGAUGAAUAAAUUCAAUGCUAUACUCAGAUGGUUACUGCAAACAACCACAAGAUUGAAUGUUAAAAUUGGAGCUGUCACCAGACAUCUCUGAGGUAUCGUCCGUCCAUCUGGAGUUUCUUAACCAUAGACUCUGUCUUUGAUGAGUCCAAAUUUCCCUGAAAUACAAAGAUUAAAAAGACAGGACAUUGGGCAAAAACAAACAUAAAUUCAAACAUUAGAAUGACCGCAUUUCAUACAAGAGAAAGUUCCCAAAGAAUGGGAACCACCACUUAACAACUCUACUAAAACUGUAAAACAGGAAACUCAAAACAAGCUUCACGCAUGUAUGCAUGAUUUUCAGUAUGUUGCGUUUUGAAAGAUUAAGAGUGGGACACCCCCACCCUCCAACAGGCAAUGCAUGUGAAUGUGCACGCAUAUGCACACACAUGCACACAAAGGAAAGGAGAGGGGAAAAAAGGUGUUAGGGUAGAUGUAAUACCUCCUCCUGAACAAUGGUAUGCAAAGUCCUAUGAACAUCUCUAGCCAUGCCCUUGGCAUCACCACACACAUAAAGAUAUCCCCCCUGAGAAAUUAUGCUCCAAAUUUGUGCUGCUUUGUCCACCAUCUUAUGUUGAACAUACUCCUUCUGUGGCCCUUCCCUUGAGAAUGCAGCAAUCAACUCAGAAAUCACACCUUGUUCCACAAAAUUAUUAAGCUCAUCUUCAUAUAUAAAAUCCUGCAAAUAAACACAGCAGCAAAUCAUUGAGCAUAGGAUUGCAAUGUUAUCAGUACUUAUCCAAUCAAGAGUCAUGCAUGGCAAAGAUCUGAACCAUUCGGCGAUUUCUACAUCCAAAGAAGAGCAGAGCAGGACCAAGCUGAGCACCAUCCACUUUCAGGGCCAUUCUUUCCUGUAGAAAUCCUCUAAAGGGUGCCAAUCCAGUACCAGGUCCCACCAUGAUGAUUGGAAUUGAAGGAUCAGAUGGUAACUUGAAAUUAGAUGUCCUGAUGAAAACCGGAGCCCAGCUACAGCCACUACUUUUCUCCAGAGUAAUUGCAUUCUUCAUCCAGGUUGAGCACACCCCUUUGUGAAUUCUACCGGUUGGCGUUGGACCAUAAACUAAAGCACAGGUCACAUGUACUCUGUUGGAAGCAAAUCUAGGGGAGGAUGAGAUUGAAUAGUAGCGAGGUUGUAGGCGAGGAGCCACUGCUGCAAAAAAUACCCCCAAUGGAGGUUUUGCAGAUGGGAACUCAGCCAUUACCUCAAGAAGACUUCUCUGACUUGCAACAACCCAUUGGGAGUACUCAUCCUUCCCCUGUGGUGAUGCUAAAAAUUUGAGUCUUUCUGCCUCACUAGGUUCACUGGCAUGAGCAGCCAAAGCAAUCAAAGCAGCCUUUCGAGGAGGGUUCAAUAGAUCUGCAUAACGUGCCAAAGCAGAACGAAGGGUGCAAGGCCCUGGGAAAGGAGGUUGCAAUGAACUUCCAAGGGGUGUGCCAUCUUCAUUGUCAUUGUGAACAGAAAAUAGUAAAUCUAAGGGUUGACCUAACAACUUCCCUGCUUCUUCAACACUUUCAUCACUAUUUUCGGCAUAAACACCCACAUGGUCCCCAGUUUCAUAUGUAAUACCAGUCCCUGAUAUGUCAAACUCCAGAUGUAUGCAAGAGCGGUCAGACUCAGUUUUGUGGAGCUCCUUUUGAACAGCAACAUUAACUCUGCAUGGAUGGUGAAUAUCAAAUGAAGUAUUCCCAUUUGCCAAGUAUGAUGAUUUAUCCUCGCUAGUUGCAAAAGAAGCAUCAUGAAUCACCACUCGAUAUUCAGGUAUUGCAGCUGUAUAUGGAGUAGACCCACCACUCACAUCAUCUUCAUCUCUGAGUAACUGGUCUAACUCAGGCCACAAUAAUUCUCUCCAAGCAGUAAAAUCAUCUUCAAUGCAUUGAUCAUCAUCACCAAGUCCAACAGGAAUGAGGCGUUUUGCGCCUUGUUCACUAAGUUGUUCAUCAAGCACCUUCGCUAUCUUAUUAAAAUGUUCAUAUUGACGGUUACCCAAGCCAAAAACACCAUAGGUGAGCUGUUGAAGCCAAACUCCCCUUUCACUUUCCUCAGUAAACCACUUAUAAAAUCUUGCAGCAUUAUCAGUUGGCUCUCCAUCUCCGUAAGUGGCAACCAUGAAAAAUGCCAGUGUCUCCUUCUUCAAUUUUUCUUCAUAUUGAUCAUCAUCCAUAGCAUAAUCAUCCAGGUCAACAACUUUAACAGCUGCUUUCUCAUAUCUUGCCUUGAUCUCCUCAGCUAAGGCCUGAAAUAAUAAUUAGGGGAAAAAUCUUCAUUAAAAGCAUAACCAACACAGAUUAGGAGUGUCUUGUAUAGAUUCAUGGUAAAAUAAAGAUAUCACACUCAACACAGGAUUGUGCAGCGGUUCCUCUGAUUCUAACACUGAAUAUGCCAGGAAAAACAAAUAUGCAACAAUGCACACAGACUGAAAAGCAUAUUCGUCUAAACACACAAUUAUCUAUUGUAUCAACAGCAAGUCCCCAAACCACCCUAUUCACUGCAGUUUUUACCUAUGCAAUCACUUUCUUAUAGGGGUCCACUCCAAAGUUCAUGGAAUUUAGUAUAAAAGUUUGUUGAAAUCAUAACAGUUUCUUGAAAUCAUAAAAGUAAGCUACAUAUCUCUGCCCCUAUUUACCCCAUUUGCAAUGAUUAAUGCCUUCAUCCAAAUGUCAUAUCAUCAUUAUGCACACAACAAUGCCAACACCAUCGAAUCAAUUGCCAUGUAAAGCUAAAAAUUCCCUCAUUUCAUUUGCUUUUCACCUAAUCAUAACUGACAAAUUGAACAGUUACUAGUACUGCAAUUCUGUCCAUGAGAUCACGUGCGAGUUUUAGCUUAGAGUCAAUUAUGUUACUGUAAUCUGCAAUCAGAAAGUGCCCCCUCUA